GGCAGAGUGGCUCAGUGGUAAGAGUGCCUGCCUAGCAAGCAUGAGAUCCUGAGUUCAAAUCCCAAUGCUGCCA